GACGAACCGAGCGAACGUUGUUCGGAAUCACUGGGCUUAAAGGGCGCGUAGGCGGGCUCUCAAGUCCGGGGUGAAAUCCCACAGCUCAACUGUGGAACUGCCUCGGAUGACUGGGGUCUCGAGGGUGGUAGGGGUAGUGCGGAACUAUCGGUGGAGCGGUGAAAUGCGUUGAUAUCGAAUAGGAACUCCGGUGGCGAAGGCGGCAUAC
rnacentral:rRNA from 1 species